UACGUAGGGGGCAAGCGUUGUCCGGAUUUAUUGGGCGUAAAGAGCGUGUAGGCGGUUUGGUAGGUCCGUUGUGAAAACUCGAGGCUCAACCUCGAGACGCCGAUGGAAACCAUCAGACUAGAGUCCGGAAGAGGAGAGUGGAAUUCCUGGUGUAGCGGUGAAAUGCGCAGAUAUCAGGAAGAACACCCGUGGCUAAGGCGGCUCGCUGGGACGGUACUGACGCUGAGACGCGAAAGCGUGGGGAGCAAACAGG
rnacentral:rRNA from 1 species